GGCUGGAUUGCAUAAGAGCUGACACCAGAAUUUUUUCCUUAUGUAAGGUCCAUCUUACAAGACUCAACUCAGCAAUGUCUGGAAGAGACAUGCCCAAAUGCACUCUGUAGGACACUGCUGAACUGACCACAUCAGAGUGAAAUUUCUUCAUCUAGAAGUCUGCUGUCUCACUUGCUCCUGGGAUACCUGUGAAGAUUGGUGUAGAGGCAGCUCCCCAGGCUAAGGCAUCUCCCGUGAUGUUCCCAUUGCAAGGUGUCCAGAUGCUUCAGAUGUUGGAGGCAUACCUGAGAAAGAGCCUUCCUGAAUCCUUAAAGGUUUAUGGGACCAUCUUCCACGUGAACCAAGGAAACCCAUUCAAGCUGAAGGCUCUGGUGGACAAGUGGCCUGAUUUUAAUACAGUGGUUGUCCGCCCUCAGGAGCAGGUAAGGGGCCAGAUGUGGAAUGAAUACGCUUCUGCUUUCUUAUUAGCUAUGUGCCUCCCAAGUGCCUGGCAAGGUGGUAGACCCAGGGGAUACAGAAAUGAUUUGCAGUGAUGUUAAACAAACCCUUGUCCUCAAGGAACUCACAACCUUGAGGAAAGGAGAGAUAAGCAAAUAAAUUGCAACUCAACGUGAAGUAUGCAAGAAGAGAAGAUGCACAACACACAGUCAUAGCACAGGCGAAAGCUGCUUAAACUAUGGUGGUUGAAGAUGGAGAUUACAGGAUAAGGUUAGGGACACUUCUCAGUGGAAGUUUCAUCUGAACUGCAUUUGGUACAUAACUAAUUUCUUAAGCUGACAAGGAAUACAGGACAUAGCACGGGCAAAGACAGGCAGGUGUGAAACAGGACAGUGACUUGGGGUGAUUAUAUAAAGCACAUUUAUAAUGCUAGAAUUUCCAUAUACAUUUUAGGGGAACAUUUAAAAAGUACUGAAACUAAAUUUC